GACGAACGCUGGCGGCGUGCUUAACACAUGCAAGUCGAACGGAAAGGCCCUGCUUUUGUGGGGUGCUCGAGUGGCGAACGGGUGAGUAACACGUGAGUAACCUGCCCUUGCCUUUGGGAUAACUUCAGGAAACUGGGGCUAAUACCGGCUAGGAGCUCCUGCUUCAUGGUGGGGGUUGGAAAGUUUCGGCGGUUGGGGAUGGACUCGCGGCUUAUCAGCUUGUUGGUGGGGUAGUGGCUUACCAAGGCUUUGACGGGUAGCCGGCCUGAGAGGGUGACCGGCCACAUUGGGACUGAGAUGAGGCCCAGACUCCUACGGGAGGCAGCAGUGGGGAAUAUUGCACAAUGGGCGGAAGCCUGAUGCAGCAACGCCGCGUGCGGGAUGACGGCCUUCGGGUUGUAAACCGCUUUCGCCUGUGACGAAGCGUGAGUGACGGUAAUGGGUGAAGAAGCACCGGCUAACUACGUG
rnacentral:rRNA from 1 species